GGGUCUGUGGUUUAGUGGUAUAAUAUUCCCUUAGCAUGGGAGAGGUCCCGAGUUCGAUUCUUGGCGGAUCCA
rfam:Diplodia corticola strain CBS 112549 scaffold98, whole genome shotgun sequence.